GAUGAACGCUGGCGGCGUGCUUAACACAUGCAAGUCGAACGGAAAGGCCGAAGCUUGCUUCGGUACUCGAGUGGCGAACGGGUGAGUAACACGUGGGUGAUCUGCCCUGUACUUCGGGAUAGGCUUGGGAAACUGGGUCUAAUACCGGAUAUGACGAUCUCUUGGAUGGGGUUGUGGAAAGCUUUUGCGGUAUGGGAUGAGCUCGCGGCCUAUCAGCUUGUUGGUGGGGUAAUGGCCUACCAAGGCGUCGACGGGUAGCCGGCCUGAGAGGGUGUACGGCCACAUUGGGACUGAGAUACGGCCCAGACUCCUACGGGAGGCAGCAGUGGGGAAUAUUGCACAAUGGGCGCAAGCCUGAUGCAGCGACGCCGCGUGGGGGAUGACGGCCUUCGGGUUGUAAACUCCUUUCGCAAUCGACGAAGCCUUUUGGUGACGGUAGGUUGAGAAGAAGCACCGGCUAACUACGUG
rnacentral:rRNA from 1 species